rfam:Otolemur garnettii contig051360, whole genome shotgun sequence.
UGUGCGGCUUCCUGAGCAUCUGCCCUUGUGGCUGGGGUCACUCCAGGCAGCACUGUGGCUUCUAAAAAUCAGCAUCUGGACAACUGGGUG